ACAAUCUGCCUACUCUUCCAUCAAUAUCUAUCAAAGCAAACAGGGUGGCUAAAAUGAUACUUUGGCUUCCUUUCUUCUUUUUCACACUAUUCCAAGGUGUCCUAUCAGAGGUCCAGCUGGUGGAAUCUGGAGGAGAUGUUAAAAGGCCUGGGGACUCCCUUCUCCUUUCCUGUCGGACCUCUGGUUUCACCUUCAGCAGCUACAGAUUUAACUGGGUGAGGCAGGCUCCUGGAAAGGGUCUGGAAUGGGUGGCCUAUAUCAGUACAUCCUCAAGUCCCAUUUAUUACUCGGAUUCAGUGAAGGGGCGCUUCACCAUCUCCAGGGAUGACUCCAACAGCCUGCUGAAGUUGCAAAUGAACAACCUGAAGCCAGAAGACACGGCCAUGUAUUAUUGUGCAAGAGACACAGUGAGAGGAAGUGGAUCUGCAGCCAAGCAAAAACUUUUUUCUGAUCAUGAGAGGUCUUUCCAGGCCUUUCAGUUUUCAGAAUGGUGA